AGCGAACGCUGGCGGCAGGCUUAACACAUGCAAGUCGAACGCCCCGCAAGGGGAGUGGCAGACGGGUGAGUAACACGUGGGAACGUACCCUUUGGUUCGGAAUAACUUGGGGAAACUCAAGCUAAUACCGGAUAAGCCCUUAUGGGGAAAGGUUUACUGCCGAAGGAUCGGCCCGCGUCUGAUUAGCUAGUUGGUGAGGUAAUGGCUCACCAAGGCGACGAUCAGUAGCUGGUCUGAGAGGAUGAUCAGCCACACUGGGACUGAGACACGGCCCAGACUCCUACGGGGGGGAGCAGUGGGGAAUAUUGGACAAUGGGGGCAACCCUGAUCCAGCCAUGCCGCGUGAGUGAUGAAGGCCUUAGGGUUGUAAAGCUCUUUUACCCGGGACGAUAAUGACUGUACCGGGAGAAUAAGCCCCGGCUAACUUCGUGCCAGCCGCCGCCUGUAA
rnacentral:rRNA from 1 species